CAGGGCCAGACGGAGAUGGACAACCAGUCAUCCUAAAGGAGAUCAGUCCUGAGUGUUCAUUGGAAGGACUGAUGCUGAAACUCCAGUACUUUGGCCACCUGAUGCGAAGAGCUGACUCAUCGGAAAAGACCCUGAUGCUGGGAAAGAUUGAGGGCAGGAGGAGAAGGGGACAAUAGAGGAUGAGAUGGUUGGAUGGCAUCAUCGACUCAAUGGACAUGAGUUUUAAGUAAACUCCGGGAGUUGGUGAUGGACAUGGAUGGAGGCCGGACACGACUGAGCGGCUGAACUGAACUGAGCUGGACUGACCCGGGCCGGCAGGCGUCGGGGCGGGGGCCGCGAGUGCGCCGCUCUUCGAAGAUCCUCCGUGGCGUCUUUCCCUGGGUUUCCGCCGUAUCUGUGAGGGGAGCUUGCGAGAUGGUGCAGUCAGUGACGACCCCAGGGACUCACAAAGCAGCAUCUGUCUCGCUCUGGCAACGUGUCACUGCAAGUUGGCCCGAGGCCCCUGCUGCUGAAGCCACGUGGGGACCAAGGGCUGUGUAGAAGUGAACACAGGAUGUUCACAUCUGUGAAGGCAACAGAAACGUCAUUCCAAAUUGCAAUGGAGACAGAGAGCAUCCGGUCGGGCGGAUUCUUUACCAAGCUGAGUCACCAGGGAAGCCGGAAGAAGGACCAGCUGGUCUGUUUAUCAGUGACAGAAGACAGGAGGAGGAGAGAACCGUUUCUGAGUGAGGCAAUCAAAUCUGUCUUGGUCGCUUCAUGGCCGGAAGGCCCUUGGAUAGCAAGCCUGGAGUGUGGGAAAUGCUGUCUCCUCACAGGAUGGAUGCCGUCAGAAGACUGAGGAUUCAGCUGUGGACCUAUUUCAGGGUAAAGAAAGGACAGUCUAAUGAGAAAACUUGUGAACUGACUAGCGGUGUUGGAGGUGCCAGGGAUAACAGACGUUUCCGGUCCCUUUGACACCAUUCCUGGGUACUGGUAAGACACUGUACGAGUGGAUAAAACUUGCCCGUGGACAACAGGUGGCUUCAGAGGACGAGCUACUUCAUGAGUUAAAUGUGGUUGCAUCACAAGCUUGCUGAAAAGGAGUAUGUUUCUAGUCUCCACUCUGAAAUCUUGGCCUGCCAUUCUUGGGCUUCGUCCACUGCAUUUUAGUACCACCGUGCCCCAGGCUGUGUGUUUAUGGAAUGGAAAUUGCACACUCGUAGGUCUUAUUCUCUGAGUACAACUGAGCGACUAAGCACAGGGUGCUUGGCCGUGCCUUGGACAUAAAGUUAAUUUUUCUUGCUUGUGGUUGGGUCAGAGGGGAGACUUCGUCUCGGUGGUGAGGCGUGAUCCUCUAUGGACAACCACUGAGCCCCCUUUCUGCUCAUCUGAGUAGUAUUGUCAGACUAUUUUUUUUACUCUAUUACUCUAAACUUUUUAAAUGAAAACAGAUGUAUUUUUUUUUUAGUACUUGUGAUCUUUUUUUUUUUUUUACAGCAUGUUUACUUGAGCAUAACCAGAACCAUGCAGUAGGGUGAUCACCCACAGUUUGCAUAAAGAUAACCUAACCACAGACCAGUUAGCACGUGAGGAAGAAGAAACAGCAGCAGGCCGCCUGCCGCCUGGGGCCGUGUGGAUAUUGAGGUACCCGGAAGGUCCCACACACGUGGCUGUGGGAGUCUCAGCCCCAGUGUGUCCCCAGGGUCUUCUCUUUGGGACCCUUUUCUCCUCCUAGCUGCUUUUCUCCUUCUCCAUGCAGGGUCUAGCCUGUAUGUUUCCUGUUGGCCAGGGUUCUUCUCAGAGAGGGACGUGGUGGAGGUGGGACUCAGAUUGAAGAUCUUCUCAUUUUCCCCACGUCUUCUCACUUUGCCAACAAAGCUCUAUAAAGUCAAAGCUAUGGUUUUUCCACUCGUCACAUACGGAUGUGAGAGUUGGACCACAAAGAAGGCUGAAGAAUGGAUGCUUUCGAACUAUGGUGCUGGAGAAGACUCUUGAGAAUCCCUUGGACUGCGAGGAGAUCCAACCAGUCCAUCCUAAAGAAAAUCAGUCCUGAACACUUGUUGGAAGGACUGAUGUUGAAGCUGAAACUCCAAUCCUUUGGCCACCUGAUGCGAAGAGCUGACUCAUUGGAAAAGACCCUGAUGCUGGAAAAGAUUGAGGGCAGGAGGAGAAGGGGAUGACAGAGGGUGAGAUGGUUGGAUGGCAUCACCAACUCGAAGGACAUGAGUUUGAGCAAGCUCUGGGAAUUGGUGAUGGACAGGGAGACCUGGCAUGCUGCAGUCCAUGGGGUCACAAAGAGUCGGACACAACUUAGCCACUGAACAACAGCAAUGUUUUUUCCGGAACUCUUGCAGAGUCCAAACUAGCUCUGUUCACUGCACAACAAGCCAAUAAAAUGUAGGACGAGGUGUUGAAGCA
rnacentral:lncRNA from 1 species